rfam:Setaria italica strain Yugu1 chromosome I, whole genome shotgun sequence.
UGCUUGCGGUGAUGACUUGUACAAGGACGGUAUCUGAGCGAGGUGGCUCUUGAAAUGCCAUUCCUUGCAUGAUUACAUCCAGAACCGAGACUGAUAUCUGAGCAAAAU